rnacentral:rRNA from 1 species
GAUGAACGCUGGCGGCGUGCCUAAUACAUGCAAGUCGAGCGAAUGGAUUAAGAGCUUGCUCUUAUGAAGUUAGCGGCGGACGGGUGAGUAACACGUGGGUAACUUGCCCAUAAGACUGGGAUAACUCCGGGAAACCGGGGCUAAUACCGGAUAAUAUUUUGAACUGCAUGGUUCAAAAUUGAAAGGCGGCUUCGGCUGUCACUUAUGGAUGGACCCGCGUCGCAUUAGCUAGUUGGUGAGGUAACGGCUCACCAAGGCAACGAUGCGUAGCCGACCUGAGAGGGUGAUCGGCCACACUGGGACUGAGACACGGCCCAGACUCCUACGGGAUGCAGCAGUAGGGAAUCUUCCGCAAUGGACGAAAGUCUGACGGAGCAACGCCGCGUGAGUGAUGAAGGCUUUCGGGUCGUAAAACUCUGUUGUUAGGGAAGAACAAGUGCUAGUUGAAUAAGCUGGCACCUUGACGGUACCUAACCAGAAAGCCACGGCUAACUACGUGCCAGCCGCCGCCGUAA